rnacentral:SRP_RNA from 1 species
GCUGAGCUCGGUAACGUGGGUUUGUCACCAAGUGGAGCAUUAAGGUAUUUGAAUAAUUUGGUAUUGAAUUCAAGGUUGACAUUAUGAGCUAGCUUUGAUUUGCCCGUUUCCAAGUUGGGCAGUGGAUUCUAUGUUUCAGGCUAACGCUUGAAUCAUAUUCUCCCUAAACUUGAGGGUAAUGCGUGAGGCUGGUUUCACAGAUCAGCGAUUACCUCUCACUCUCAACGGUGGAAGGAUUACAACUCAUUUGCUCAUAUUGUCAAUUAGCCUUGGAAUCCACCAAAUUCAACAAAUAUUUUU